AGGAAUUAGUCAUUCAAAAGACGGUGAGGAAAAGAAUGGUCGACAAACCUUGUGUGGUGCCUUAACAGUCCAACAGACUAAGGGAUAGAUAAAGGUAGAUCUUGAUUACACUGCCUGGUUUUGUGGUUUGCACGAGACGGUUGACACAAUGAUCUGAAGUUCAAACUGCCAUUUUCUACUGUCCGCUGCAAGAUCUUGGCUGGAAUGUAAAAGGAAUAUCCAAAAUAUUUAAAUGACAAACAGGAUGGGAACUGAUAAUGAGGAAUGUAUGUCCAGUUUUUUUUUGUUUUUUUUUUUAAAUACAGAUAUGAAAGAUGACAUUACCCUAACUUAGAGUCAUAGGAGUUUCAUUAAUUUAUUUACUCAGAUGCUGAAACAGACAUCUGGCAUAUUCCUAUAAUCAGUAUCAUGGCCUUUGUAUACAACAAAAUUGAUUGGAACUCCUAGACUAGAAAUAUAAUUCAAGAUUUAAAUAAGGCACUGGUCAUAGUUUUAGAAAGUGUGGCUAGCAUUCUGAAGGAAGACAGAGAGAUGGAAAGACAUCAAAGAAUGGGCAGGUCUGCCAAGAAAUGGUUUAUCCAGGGCUAAGUACAGAGAGGAAUAUAGAAGGGCUGUUGACAGAUCUUGUGUGGUGCCCCCAUGGUUCAACAGACUGAUUGAUAGGUAAUGGUAAGAAUUUAAUGUAUUUU